UACGAAGGGUGCGAGCGUUGUUCGGAAUUAUUGGGCGUAAAGGGUUCGUAGGCGGGAUCAUAAGUCAAGUGUGAAAUCCCCGAGCUUAACUCGGGACGUGCAUUUGAAACUGUGAUUCUUGAGUCAUUGAGAGGGUGGUGGAAUUGUUGGUGUAGGAGUGACAUCCGUAGAGAUCAACAGGAACAUCAGAGGCGAAAGCGGCCACCUGGCAAUGUACUGACGCUGAGGAACGAAAGCGUGGGGAGCAAACAGG
rnacentral:rRNA from 1 species